AUUGAACGCUGGCGGCAGGCCUAACACAUGCCAGUCGAGCGGAUGAAGGGAGCUUGCUCCUGGAUUCAGCGGCGGACGGGUGAGUAAUGCCUAGGAAUCUGCCUGGUAGUGGGGGAUAACGUCCGGAAACGGGCGCUAAUACCGCAUACGUCCUGAGGGAGAAAGUGGGGGAUCUUCGGACCUCACGCUAUCAGAUGAGCCUAGGUCGGAUUAGCUAGUUGGUGGGGUAAAGGCCUACCAAGGCGACGAUCCGUAACUGGUCUGAGAGGAUGAUCAGUCACACUGGAACUGAGACACGGUCCAGACUCCUACGGGAGGCAGCAGUGGGGAAUAUUGGACAAUGGGCGAAAGCCUGAUCCAGCCAUGCCGCGUGUGUGAAGAAGGUCUUCGGAUUGUAAAGCACUUUAAGUUGGGAGGAAGGGCAGUAAGUUAAUACCUUGCUGUUUUGACGUGACCAACAGAAUAAGCACCGGCUAACUUCGU
rnacentral:rRNA from 1 species